AUUGAACGCUGGCGGCAGGCUUAACACAUGCAAGUCGAGCGGGGAAGGUUGCUUUGGUAACUGACCUAGCGGCGGACGGGUGAGUAAUGCUUAGGAAUCUGCCUAUUAGUGGGGGACAACAUUCCGAAAGGAAUGCUAAUACCGCAUACGCCCUACGGGGGAAAGCAGGGGAUCUUCGGACCUUGCGCUAAUAGAUGAGCCUAAGUCGGAUUAGCUAGUUGGUUGGGUAAAGGCCUACCAAGACGACGAUCUGUAGCGGGUCUAAGAGGAUGAGCCGCCAAACUGGGACUGAGACACGGCCCAGACUCCGACGGGAGGCAGCAGUGGGUAAUGUUGGACAAUGGGCGGAAGCCUGAUCCAGCCAUGCCGCGUGUGUGAAGAAAGCCUUUUGGUUGUAAAGCACUUUAAGCGAGGAGGAGGCUCCUUUAGUUAAUACCUAAAGAGAGUGGACGUUACUCGCAGAAUAAGCACCGGCUAACUCUGUGCCAGCCGCCGCCGUAC
rnacentral:rRNA from 1 species